AUUGAACGCUGGCGGCAUGCUUUACACAUGCAAGUCGAACGGUAACAGGGAGCUUGCUCCGCUGACGAGUGGCGAACGGGUGAGUAAUAUAUCGGAACGUACCCAAGAGUGGGGGAUAACGUAGCGAAAGUUACGCUAAUACCGCAUACGAUCCAAGGAUGAAAGUGGGGGACCGCAAGGCCUCAUGCUCCUGGAGCGGCCGAUAACUGAUUAGCUAGUUGGUGAGGUAAAGGCUCACCAAGGCAACGAUCAGUAGCUGGUCUGAGAGGACGACCAGCCACACUGGGACUGAGACACGGCCCAGACUCCUACGGGAGGCAGCAGUGGGGAAUUUUGGACAAUGGGGGCAACCCUGAUCCAGCAAUGCCGCGUGAGUGAAGAAGGCCUUCGGGUUGUAAAGCUCUUUUGUCAGGGAAGAAACGGGAGUGGCUAAUAUCCAUUUCUAAUGACGGUACCUGAAGAAUAAGCACCGGCUAACUACGUGCCAGCCGCCGCGGUAACAC
rnacentral:rRNA from 1 species